rnacentral:misc_RNA from 1 species
GAGACAAGCAUAUGACUACUGGCAGGAUCAACCAGGUAGCAUUCCUUCGCGACGCCGACGCUCGCAUGAGACCCGGCAGGCCGUACGGCCGCGGGCUCAAGACGGGCACGACAGUCGUUCGUGUCGUAAGACAAAUGCGUUGCUUGGGCAAACGGAGCUAAUAAAUAGACCCCGCACCCGCACAUAACAUUCUGCAUCCGAGAGCACGGGCAAAGCACCUCAUGGGCCGAGGCAGCGACGCAGCUGGGCGAAGCAUGCCGGGAACACGAGGCUUGCCUGAUGUCCACCCCAAAACCCGUGAGGGCAGGGGGCGGAAAGGGACAAACGAAACCAUCGGAUUCCUUUCGAUAGGUAAGCAACACAGGAUACCGAA